rnacentral:rRNA from 1 species
UACGUAGGUGGCAAGCGUUGUCCGGAAUUAUUGGGCGUAAAGCGCGCGCAGGCGGUCCUUUAAGUCUGAUGUGAAAGCCCACGGCUCAACCGUGGAGGGUCAUUGGAAACUGGGGGACUUGAGUGCAGAAGAGGAGAGUGGAAUUCCACGUGUAGCGGUGAAAUGCGUAGAGAUGUGGAGGAAUACCAGUGGCGAAGGCGACUCUCUGGUCUGUAACUGACGCUGAGGCGCGAAAGCGUGGGGAGCAAACAGG